UCGGGAAAAAAAAUUCAGUGACCGAACUGCACUCUUUUGAUCUCUCUUGCGUCGUCCCUCAUUCUCUCGAAUCUCGAUCUGUGACUCUCGUUUCUCUUGCGUACAUUGAAACUUCCUACGGGAUUGGACUCGAUCGCCAACUACAUUACCAGCAGAUUCACUCUCUAUCACUCACUCAAUCACUCGUAGGGAUCAUAACACAACCACGUCUCGUGCAUUUCGAAUUUAUCAACCAAAUCAGGUAUCGGAAAAAAAAGUGUUCGUGAUUGUGCUACAUGUUUUCUUUAAUUUAAGUGCCACUUUCGAUCAAUAGUUUUCAUAGUUUCAUGAUAUUUUUUUCCCUUUUGAGUUGUGCUUUUGAUCAAUUUUUCUGUUUUGUUUUUAAUUUGUGCUUCGACGAAAUUGUGACAGGGACUCAGGGUAUGAUUGAGAUCAAUGAUGUUGUGCUUAUUAAGUUUCAGCGAAUCAGUUUCUGAUUUUUCACUUUUGUGCAUGUAUGGUAUACCUCUUAUCUGCCGCAGGAUUGGGCCAUCUUCUUAAGUGCUUUACCUCUUCUCUACUUUACCUCUGCAUUUUGUGUGUGUAGACUCUGUUUCAUUCUUAGAUUGUGUGAUCUGUUGGAUUUUGGCUUCUUUAAAUUUAAUCAUAACGUAGGUAGAAAUAAAUGAUACGAGAUUGUUUACCACAUCACCGAUUUAUAUCAAAACCCAAGCUAGUCAUUUUUUGAAUCCUGAAUCUCAAAACACUUUACUAAACACUUGUAUUCACUAUCCAACAUUAUUAUUUUUUGUCAGUACUGAAACAACAAAUUAGAUUCCUACAUAUAUUCUUCAAGAAAAAAAUAAUUAAACGUGCACCCCAAUUGAGCACUUUAGGAUGCUUCUCCUUGCAUCUUGGUGUUACAACAGCUUUCAAUGCAGAGUCAUUGCAGCAAUGACAGCUAUUGAACAAGCUUUUGAUCAUGGAUGACACUUUUCAUCAAGCAGUUGCUUCCCAUUACUGAUCAAAACUGAAUACAAAAAUAACAGAACAGAAAUUUGGAGCAUGAUAUUAGCUGCAGAGAACAAUGCAUAGCAGUGGUGGCCAGGGAUGUCGCAAAAAUAUGAAUCCUGACUCCUGAGUAAUACUUAGGACAUCUUGAUUUAGUCUUCAAUGCUGUUACUGCUUUUGGUGUUUUCAUGGGCACGUUCAGAAUGUUUAUGUUUGUUAAAGAAAAUAGUAGUAACUCACAAGAUGAUAGAAAAUUCUCUAAUAUAACAAACUCAUGGUUAUUAAAAACUAUUAAUAAUUAAUCCCCAACUAAAACAAAACUUGGUGACUUAGCAAAUUUGGUUAUUGCUUCAUGCAGGGCUGUUAAGGUGUGGCAAAAAUUGCAGGCUCAGGUGGACAAAUUAUCUGAUGCCAGACUUGAAGAGGCCUUCUAUCAGAACACAAAGGCCUUGCAAUCAUUUCAAUGUCUUGAUGCUAACACAUACAGAAGAAGUAUGAUUCUGAAAGCAAAUAUCUUACUGGCUAAGCUUCAAUUUUUAAACUUUAAAGCUGCCCCAUUGCUGGAUCUGCUGGUUAGCUCAACUUGGUACUCACAAGCAUCCACUCAUCAGACCAAAGGAUUCUCAAGACUAAAUCUACACAAAAAAAGAAGUCAUUCGCCAUUACUUAGCUGGACUUGAAUAACAUCCAUCUUGUACAAGAAUCAACUUGUACACCUCUAAUGAAGUUGAGGAAAGUUCACGAAAUACAUGUUUCUUCAAUAAACUCAAGUGGGAACAUAAAUGGUCAUGGACCAGGCCAACAAGCAUGAAAUUUAUAUCAAGUGAUUCUCAAUACGAAUGAAAUAACAAGGCGUUGAAGAGAAGAAAAGAAAAGAAUCUUGGAGGAGCACCGGCCUAAAUCCUACUACUAUCUAAUGAUGUGGUGUUUCAUUUCAUAUAUCAAAUGGAACACGGGACAAUUGGAGUGGGGCUUCUGCUUAGAUGGAAAGCUGAACCUUCCCAAUGAAUAGUGGACAACGAAACUAGGUAUGGCCUAACAAGGUCCUUUUGUAGAGGUUUGUGGGCUCUUUUCAACACCACAAACAGUUUCUCCACUCACUUCACUCAUUCAUUUUGACUUUGUUUCCACUGUGCUAA